GUGGGGAAUCUUAGACAAUGGGGGAAACCCUGAUCUAGCCAUGCCGCGUGAGCGAUGAAGGCCUUAGGGUUGUAAAGCUCUUUCAGCUGGGAAGAUAAUGACUGUACCAGCAGAAGAAGCCCCGGCUAACUCCGUGCCAGCAGCCGCGGUAAUACGGAGGGGGCUAGCGUUGUUCGGAAUUACUGGGCGUAAAGCGCACGUAGGCGGACCGGAAAGUCAGAGGUGAAAUCCCAGGGCUCAAGCUUGGAACUGCCUUGGUAACUCCUGGUCUGGAGGUCGAGAGAGGUGAGUGGAAUUCCGAGUGUAGAGGUGAAAUUCGUAGAUAUUCGGAGGAACACCAGUGGCGAAGGCGGCUCACUGGCUCGAUACUGACGCUGAGGCACGAAAGCGUGGGGAUCGAACAGGAUUAGAUACCCCUGUAGUCC
rnacentral:rRNA from 1 species